rnacentral:rRNA from 1 species
UUGAACGCUGGCGGCAGGCCUAACACAUGCAAGUCGAGCGCGAAAGGUUUUCGGACUGAGUAAAGCGGCGGACGGGUGAGUAACGCGUGGGAAUCUGCCCAGUAGUGGGGGACAACAGUCGGAAACGACUGCUAAUACCGCAUACGCCCUACGGGGGAAAGGGGGGGAUCUUCGGACCUCUCGCUAUUGGAUGAGCCCGCGUCGGAUUAGCUAGUUGGUAGGGUAAGGGCCUACCAAGGCUACGAUCCGUAACUGGUCUGAGAGGCUGAACAGUCACACUGGAAGUGAGACAAGGGCCAGACUCCUACGGGAGGCAGCAGUGGGGAGUAUUAGACAAAGGGGGCAACGCUGAUCCAGCCAUGCCGGGUGUGUGAAGAAUGCCUUAGGUUUGUAAAGCACUUUCAGUGGGGAGAAAGGUUUGUCACCUAAUACGUGAUGAAAUUGAUGUUACCCACAGAAGAAGCACCGGCUAACUCCGUGCCAGCCGCCGCCGUAA